rnacentral:rRNA from 1 species
GACGAACGCUGGCGGCGAGCUUAACACAUGCAAGUCGAGCGGUAAGGCCCUUUCGGGGGUACACGAGCGGCGAACGGGUGAGUAACACGUGGGUGACCUGCCCUCAGCUCUGGGAUAAGCCUGGGAAACCGGGUCUAAUACCGGAUAUGACUCCAUGACGCAUGUUGUGGGGUGGAAAGCCUUGUGCGGCUGAGGAUGGGCCCGCGGCCUAUCAGCUUGUUGGUGGGUGAUGGCCUACCAAGGCGA